AGAGGGGGAUAUUGAUUCCUUAUUCUGCCAGAGAUUUAAGCAUGCAAGGAAUCUGCAGCAUGGUUGGCAAAAGGAGACCGGUUGCCUUCUGUAACCAGAUACUCGGGCUUUCCAGGAGCCUAGGGAGAGAGCCGAGAAGAAAGGGGGCAGUGUGGUCUAGGAAAAUUCAACUUGUCGCUGAUUUGUGCCUGAUGCUUGCUGUCCGUCAGCAGCCUCCCUUACAAUCUUUUUUCUCUCUCCUUUUUUUUCCCCCUUGCCUUCUCCUUCUCCACUGAAGCCUAGGGGAGCCAGUAAAGAUUAAAUGUGCUUUCUCAAAGGCAGCCACUUCAUGCUGCUAUGUCGAAAGGGCCAUUAUUAUUAUUUUUUUAAUAGUAAAAGAAAAAGGGAGAGAGGUUGAGAGAGUGAGAGAGAGAGGAGGGAGAGAGAAGCUAGGUAUGGUGAUGACGGACUAGCUUUUCUGAGAGGAAAAGGAAAAGGGAAGGGAGAGAAAAAGGAGAGACCCUGAGCUGAACGGAGGAUUGUGCAUGAGAAGAACCUACAGAGUUGUGUCGAUGUUCCUUUCAGCUGGUCCUAUAGCCCCCCUCCUCAGGAAUGUCUCCCCAGUGAAAGGACAAAGGCUACAGAGACUGCUAUAUUGAUGGACCCUCACGCCAACUGUGAAGUUGAAACAAAGAAAGUGACCACCUGAAGACACCUCUCCUGUCCAGCAACACACCCAAAUGUACAGUUUCAGCCAAUAAAACCCUCAGAAUAAGAGCAAUCUUUUCAAGAAACAGAAAAACCCAGUACUGACAUCUAGAUCUCUGAUGAGCCAAGAACUUUCCCUUCCUUGUGUGUAUUCCUCUGUUUGUAUUUAAAUUCAUGUGACAUUCAUUUUCUUUCCUAGUAUGGAUAUGAUUGUUAAUGCACUAGCUUUAGAAUCUAAAUGGGCACAAAUGUGCUAAUGUGUUAAGGAACAAAAUCAAUGCCAUAAGGAGAAUGAUUUUUAGCCACACAUAGAAUUUCUUCUUCAGAGCAACCUAGAAAAUUAAAAGUACCCUAGAAAUAAGAAGGCAGUCACAGACAAGUCAAAGGAUCAAGUAAUGGGAGAGAUUCAUAGUGCGGCAUAGAAAUAUCACACAAUUUCACCUGACACCAACCCAUCAACCAUUAUUUUUAUAAAGAAAGCUCUGUUCAGUGCUAUCUGGUCAGCUCGUAAGAAGCUUCAAUCUAGUUAGAUGAAGUUACAUAAACUUUUGAAAAGAUGAAUAACUGAUUGGGUCAGAGGAUGAUAAGAGCCAAAAUGGAACAAAAGAUGUAGAUAAUGAGCUCAAAAAAGGUUGCCAUGACGUGGGCGGAACUGACUUUUUGGGGAAGAAAACUCCCCAAAGAGGAAGAUGUGAGAUGAAUCUUGAAGGACUCAAAAAUUUAGAUAAAUGAAAAGGUAGGAGAAACAGACCACCAUUGGACAUGAUGGAAGGAGGAAAUACUGAUACAUGGUACAUUUAGGAGAUGAUGACUUCACCCGAGACAUUCAGCACCAGUCCCUGUGUAUCUGAUAAACACUGCACACACACCUCCCCUCACCUAGAUACCUGCUGCUAAAGCAAAUGAGGGUUAAUUGGUGAUAAUAUGGAGAAUUCAUGAUUUUUCUGUUCAUAAUAAUUGAUAUUUAUUAAGUUCUCACUGUAUGUUUUUUACAUAUAAACUCAAGCCUCACAACAACUAAGCAAAUUAGGUAAUAUUAUCCCCAUCUUACAGGCAGCAAAACAGGUUUAAUGAGGUUUGCCAAGGUGCCAGGUAUAGAGACUCACAAUCAGGAUUGUGAUUGCAAAAUGCAUGAUCUAAAGCAUGAAGUCACAAUAUUGCGAUCAAUGUCCAGAGGAUCACCAUUUUUUAAUAUUUCUUGAUAGUUGUGGGGUUUUUAUUGAGUUAUCACCUCAAUCUUUUCAGCUUUAUAGUUUUCAGUUAUACAGCACAUUCUAUCACUGUAAUUGCAGUAGAGUGAUAGAAUCAUGCAAAACUGGGGGAGUAGAGCUUGUCAACAUUUUAGACAUUUCUCUUUUUUUUUAUUUUUCCUUCUUUCUUAUUUUGUUUCCUUUGCCAGAUUUUGAUGAGAUUUUCUACUUUGUUCUACAAGAAAUGACAAAUCCUUGAAAACAAAAAGGGGAGGAACUUAAAUCACUUAUCACAAUAUCCCUUUUUUACAGAUAAGACAAAUCAUUAUAUAAGUUUAGAGUGACUUAUAGAAGGUCACAUAUUUAACUGUGGCAGAUCAAGGAGCAGAAACCAGGCCCGAAAUGGCUCUUGAAUUACUACUCCAUCCUGCCUAAAUGAUGCAUAACCUUGACUUUGAUUAGAGGAAACACUCUAGGUAAUCAGGGGGCUUUGUACUGAGUAGGUGGCUUCAAUCUGCACCUCUUUGGCAUCCCACCUCAGUGUGAAAUGUAGCUAGCUAUACAUGUCUUUACAUCCAUAAAUGGCCAACAUCCAUUCCCAAAGAACACAUAGUAGCCAAAGUUAGUACAGUAUCUUCAAUGAUAUCCUUAAGUUAUUUGGGAAUUCUCAGUUCACUUCCACAGAUCAAAUCUUCUGAUAACCACUUUCUUUACCACUUUAAGACACAGUAUACGUUUGUAAAUGCUUCUGCAUGAAUGUUUAUACAUGACUUUCCAUAGUAUUUGUUUUUUAAAAAUAGCUAGUCACUUGCUAUUAUAACCUGCACUCAUUCAUGUAACUCAAGAAAACCUUGACCAUAAAAAGCUGGAACUGAGGAAUCUGUCUUCUUUACCAGCUCCUUUGCAUUAAAUUGGCAUCUAGUAAUGAUUAUUGAAAUUAUCUUCUAGAUAGCACAGAGGUGCAAACUGCAGUUGUGCCUUGAAGGAGUCCAUUAAACUGGGUCUACUUAGGGGCAGAACUCUGAAUGUUUGGAAGUGCCUCAAUCUUUGGCUGUUGUAAAUUUUCACUUAGGUAUCUGUCACUGUCACAUUGCAUCCUCCUUGUCUUUCUGGUCAUUCUGUUUUCAAAAUGAUGACUGUUGGCCAUAUCUUACACUGGUAGUUCUUAAAUAAAACAGGAUUUUUUUUUUAAAGGGUA